rnacentral:lncRNA from 1 species
AUAGUAAACAUAUAAUAUGGUAUAAUUUAGUAUAAAGUUUUUGCUAUAAAGGUUUUGUCAUUUUCUUUUUUUAUUUAUUUGGUUGAAUCUUUGAAAAAUCAUAUUAAAUCAUAGAGAAAUAAUAAAAUAGAAAAUAUAAUUUUCUUAGACUCCACAUGAGUAUAUAUACAAUUCAUAAUAUAUGUAUAUUUUAGUCCGACAAAAUAAUUAUAGAAGCUAUAGCUAUGAAUUAUUUUAAUUAACUACAGAAAAGCAUAAAUCUAAAGCUACAACAAAAAAACUAUGCUAAAGCAUACCAUAUUAUAUAUUUACUACGUAGAUAUGCUCAUAUGGAAUCUUAAAAAAUUAUAUUUUAUAAUUUAUGAUUUUUUUUUGUAAUUUACUAUGAUUUUCCAAUUAUUUAGCCAAAAUAAAUAAAAAUAAAAAGACAAAACCUUUAUAGCAAAAACUUUGUACUAAAUCAUAUCAUAUUAUAUAUUCAAUAUUUAGAUCUACUUAUAUGGAGUCCAACAAAAUUAAAUUUUCUAUUUUAUGAUUUUUUUUGUGAUUUACUCUGAUUUUUUAAAAAUAUAACCAAAAUAAUUAAAAAAGAAAAUAAAAAAAACCACCAUCACUGUAGCACUGUAACAAAACCGUCUUCGAAACCGCUCCAAAGAGGUAAAAUGUACAGUUUGAAAAGUUGAAAGGGGUGAUUUAUCCGGUUUCGGAGUUGAGAGAGGAAAACAGACUUUGUGAAAGUUGGGGAAGAAAAAAUACCGGAUAUAAUGAAAACGGAGUGCGUGGCUACUAGCGCUUGCAGUUUGCGUGAGAGGAGAGGUCACUGCGUGCUGGUGCCAGCCUGCCAUUUUGAGUAGCCCAUCGGGCAAGUGGUCUGUUGGGCCAAGCGUGAUUUGAGGGAGUGGAGGGAGGAGAAAGUAGCCCAAAAUAGAUUUUGUAUUUUUGUGACAACUUUUGUAAUUCCUAGAAAAUCAAGGAGGAUUUGAAGUAAUUUGAUUUAAAUUCUAGGAAGAGGUUUGAGUUAAAGAUUCAAGGUAAAUAUUUUUGGUGCCACAAAUAAAUUUGAGAAAGCACAUCAACA